UGUGACAAUUAUAUCAGAAAGCCGAACCUCCUCAAAAUCCUGAAUACAGAACAGCUCACAAAAUCAACAAGAACCCACCAAAAAUUCUACCAAAUUCAUCAAUCCAAGACCCCAAAUUCACAAGUUUCUUCAAGCUCACCAAUAAUUCAAACAAGAUUUGUAAACAAAAAACUCAUGAAUGUUCAAACCCAGACUGAAAAAUUUAAAAUACACAAAACAGAAUUGCUCGAAAAUCAACAAUGCAAUUGAAACGCUAAAUCUAAAAAGUUUACAAGAUCAACGUCAGCACACCUAUAAUUCAAUCUGAUUCAUCC
rnacentral:lncRNA from 1 species